rnacentral:rRNA from 1 species
CAGAACGAACGCUGGCGGCGCGUCUAAAGCAUGCAAGUCGAGCGGCAAGGGCAGCAAUGCCCCUAGAGCGGCGGACUGGUGAGUAACGCGUGGGUGACCUACCCUUGGGUUGGGGAUAGCCCCUAGAAAUAGGGGGUAAUACCGAAUACGGUUAUCCGGUUGUGACUGGAUAAAGAAAGGAGCUACGGCUCCGCCUGAGGAUGGGCCCGCGUCCCAUUAGCUAGUUGGUGAGGUAAAGGCCCACCAAGGCCCUGAUGGGUAGCCGGCCUGAGAGGGUGAACGGCCACACUGGGACUGAGAUACGGCCCAGACUCCUACGGGAGGCAGCAGCUAAGAAUAUUCCGCAAUGGCCGAAAGGCUGACGGAGCGACGCCGCGUGGAUGACGAAGGCCGAAAGGUUGUAAAAUUCUUUUGUUGCUGAAGAAUAAGCAGGGGAGGGAAUGCCCCUGUGAUGACGUAGGCAACG